UGUUUGUCUGUCAGUGAACACGCUGCGUGAAACUCGAUCUGACUCUCUUCUGCUGGGAUUGGACUCUUCUGGAAACUGAACUUUAGAGAAAUGAUGCUGAUCUUUGGACUGAUGCUGCUGCUGCAAACUGCUGCAUGUCUGGAUCAGUUCUGCAGUUUUUUGAUAAAUCAGAUCCCUGUUAUGCAGCUCUGGAACACAAACUCAGUCUGCUGAUGAAGCGGGACACUCGAGAAUAUGACCUGAGGUUAAAAAAGAGAAUAGACAACACACAAGAUGAUCCAAUUUGUAGAGUAAAAUAUGGCAGGAUAAAGGAAUGUGAUCUUUAUAAUAACAGAACUGAAGUGAAAGUCAUUAAUGGGACUGUGAUAAUAAACCGUGUGAUCAGAGCAGAUUCUGGGAAUUACAGAUUAACACUCUUUCACUCAGACGGCACAGAAACAUCUAGAGAUCUUCAAGUGAUUGUUGAAGCUCCUAUUGGCUCAGUGGAAGUGUCAAUCAUCUGCUCCUCCAGUGGGGUGAUGAGGGU